GUAAGAACUGGAACAAGGAAAGGAUGCCCACUUUCACAUUUCAACAUAGUACAUGAAAUGAUAGCCAGAGCAAUCAGGAAAGAGGAAAAAAAAAGGCACUCAAAUUGGAAGAGAGGAAGACAAAUUAUCUCUCCCACUGAUGACAUAAUCUUAUAUUUAGAAAACCCUAACAAUUCUACAAAAAAAAACUCAGAUUUGAUAAAUAAAUUCAGUAUAGUUUUGGAAUACAAAAUCAAUAUACAAGAAUCAGUUGCAUUUCUAUACACCAAUAAUGAUCUAUCAGAGAAUCAAAUGAAGAAUAAAAAAAAUAAAAGAUUCAAUUCCAUUUGCAAAGGCUGUAAAAAAUUAAAAUACCCAGGAAUAUAUGUAAACAAAAAAGGUGAAAGAUCUCUACAUGAAAAACUACAAAACACUGAUGAAGUAAAUUGUAGAUGAAACAAACAAACUGAAAAACAUCUCAGGGCCAUGGAUAAGAAUAAUUAAUAUUGUUUAAAUGACCAUACUGUCCAAAGCAAUCUACAGAUACAAUGCAAACCCUGUCAAAAUACCAACAUCAUUUUUCACAGAAUUAGGGAAAAAAAAAUCCCUAAAAUUCAUAUGGAAUCAAAAAAGGAAGUUGAAUAGCCAAAGCAAUCCUAAGCACCAAUAAGAAAGCUGGGGGCAUCACACUACUUGACAUCAAAUUAUACUACAAACCUAUAGUAACCAACACAAUAAGGUAACACAAUAAAAAUAGACAUAUAGAUUAAUAGGACAGAAUAAGGAACCCACAAAUAAAGCCACAUAUCUUUAGCAAAAAGAUCUUGGACAAAGUCGACAAAAACAUACAUUAAGGAAAGUGCAGCCUUUUAAAUAAAUGUUGCUGGGAAAAUAAGAUUGUCAUCUGCAGAAGAACGCAAGUGGAUCCCCUAUCUCUCACCAUGUAAAAAAAAAAAAAUCAACUUAAGGUGAAUUAAAUACUUAGAUGAUAGACCUGACACUAUACAAUCCUAAGAGAAAACCUAGAAAAACUUCUGGACAUUGGUCUGGGUAAAUAAUUUAUGACUAAGACAUCAAAAGCACAUGUCACAAAACCAAAAAUAGACAAGCUGGACUCAGUUAAACUAAAAAGCUACUGCACAGCAAAACAAAUAAUCAACAAAGGGAACAGACAACUUGCAAAAUGGGAGAAAUAUUUUCAAACUGUGCAUCUGACAGGGUACCAAUAUCUGAAAUAAACAAGGAAGUAAAACAACUCAACAACAACAACAACAACAACAAGAAAUAACCCCUUAAAAAGUGGGCAAACAACAUGAAUAAACAUUUUUCAAAAGAAGAAAUAAAAUUGGCCAAUAAACACAUGGUAAAAAUGUUCAGCAUCACUAAUCAUCAGAGAAAUGCAAAUUAAAACCACAAUGAGCUAUCAUACCAGUCAGAAUGGCUAUUAUUAAAAAGACAAAAAAUAACAGAUGUUGUUGGUAAGGAUGGAGGGAAAAGGGAACACUUAUACACUGUUUGUGGGAAUGUAAAUUAGUAUAAUCUUUAUGGAAAACAGUAUGGAGAUUUACAUUUCCUACUGUUUGUGGGGUUGUAAAUUAGUAUAAUCCUUAUGGAAAACACUAUGGUACUACCUACCAUUCAAUCCAACAAUUCCACUACUGAGAAUCUAUGCAAAGGAAAAAAAAUCAUCAUUAUCCAAAAGAUACCUGCAUUUGUAUGUUUAUUGUAGCACUAUUCACAAUAGCAAAGAUUUGGAAGCAACCUAACUGUCCAUCAACAGAUGAUUGAAUAAAGAAAAUUUGGUAUAUAUACAGGAUGGAAUACAAAUCAUCCAUAAAAUGAAUACCAUCAUGUAUUUUGUAGAAACAUGGAUGGAAUUGGAGGACAUUUUCUUAAGUGAAACAACUGAGAAACAGAAACAAAAAUACUGCAUGUUUUCAGGUACAAUGGGAGCAAAAUAUGUAUACAUGGACAUAGGGUGUAUAAUGAUAGACAAUGAAGGCUCAAAAGAACAUUGGGAUCAGGGGGUUGGAUGAUGAGAAAUUACUUAACAGGUACAACGUACAUUUUUUGGGUGAUGGAUACACUGAAAGCCUAGACUUCGCCACUAUGCACUUUAUCGAUGUAACUAAAUUGCAGUUGUACCCCUUAAAUUUAUACAAAAAAAAACUCGUUAAAGUGGCAUAUAACUUUUAAAUAUUUGGACAUCUGUUAAUUUGGGCUUCAAUUUACACUUUUGCCCCAAGCCAUGCAAUGUUACAUGCUGGUCUGUGCAGAUUCAUCUGCUUGUUAAUUAAACUAAUAAAUACGAAGACAAUAUAUUAUGCCAUACCAGACAACUGAUUAUAUUGCUGAGGAUAUAAUGAUGAAAAAAUGAAUAUGGGCCCUACCAUCAAGGAGGUUAUUGUUUUGCAAGAAAAGGUAGUGAUUGCACAGGCAAUUGUAAGUCAAUGUGGUGGUGUGAUAUGGGGAAUAAAAUACAGUACAUCACUGGAGUACAUGAGAGUCCACUCUUAGAGGAGGUUCAGGGAAGGCUUUCUAGUGUAGUUGUCUACAUGGAGACCUGAAGGAUGACUACAAAGAACCAAGAGAGGAGUAAAAUACAGCCACUGGACAAACAGGAAAUCAUGGCAAAGCCCUGGAUGCAGAAAAUAGCUUUCUCUUUAAGAGAAAAAACAAAAAUAUUCACUUAUACGUAGGUAGAAGAUAAUAUGCUCAAUUUUUUCAUCCACUAAUGCUUUCUUUGGCACUGCCACAGAUUCCAACUUGGUAGGGAAAGAUGAAAAACACAAAAAGCAAUUAUCUGUAGUGAACAGAAGAUAGGCCAGGCAUGGUGGCUCACACCUGUAAUCCCAGCAAUUUGGGAGGCCAAGGCCAGUGGAUCACUUGAGCCCAGGAGUUCGAGACCAGCACAGGCAACGUAGGGAUACCAACCCCACCUCUACAAAAAAUACAAAAAAUUAGCAUCUUCCUGAUACCAAAGCCGGGCAGAGACACAACCAAAAAAGAGAAUUUUAGACCAAUACCCUUGAUGAACACUGAUGCAAAAAUCCUCAAUAAAAUACUGGCAAACCUAAUCCAGCAGCACAUCAAAAAGCUUAUCCAUCAUGAUCAAGUGGGCUUCAUCCCUGGGAUGCAAGGCUGGUUCAAUAUACGCAAAUCAAUAAAUG
rnacentral:lncRNA from 10 species